rnacentral:rRNA from 1 species
CUACGGGGCGCUGCAGUGAGGAAUAUUGCACAAUGGGGGAAACCCUGAUGCAGCAACGCCGCGUGGAGGAUGACGCAUUUCGGUGUGUAAACUCCUUUUAUCAGAGAAGAAAAUGACGGUAUCUGAUGAAUAAGCUCCGGCUAACUCCGUGCCAGCAGCCGCGGUAAUACGGAGGGAGCAAGCGUUAUUCGGAAUCACUGGGCGUAAAGGACGCGUAGGCGGGUUUGUAAGUCAGGUGUGAAAUCCUAUGGCUCAACCAUAGAACUGCACUUGAAACUGGGGACCUAGAGUAUGGAAGGGGCAGGUGGAAUUAGUGGUGUAGGGGUAAAAUCCGUAGAUAUCACUAGGAAUACCGAAAGCGAAGGCGACCUGCUGGGACAUUACUGACGCUGAGGCGUGAAAGCGUGGGGAGCAAACAGGAUUAGAUACCCUGGAGUC